rnacentral:lncRNA from 10 species
CUUAUAUCCAAAAGAAAUAAAAAGCUUCUGUAACUCAGAAAUAAAAUAAAAAGAACUCAAUUUUAAAAGAGAUGAGGCUGGGUGGUGGCUCACACCUGUAAUCCCAGCACUUUGAGAGGCUGAGGUGUGCAGAUCACCUGAGGUCAGGAGUUCAAGACCAGCCUGGCCAACAUGGUGAAACCCCAUCUCUACCAAAAAUACAAAAAAAUUAGCCAGGUGUGGUGGUGUGCACCUGUAAUCCCAGUUACUUGGGAAGCUGAGGCACGAGAAGUGCUUGAACCUAGGAGGUGGAGGUUGCAGUGAGCCCAGAUGACGCCAUUGCACUCCAGCCUGGAUGACAGAGCAAGACUCCAUCUAAAAAAAAUAAAAAAAUAAAAGAGAUGAGAGCAAAAGAUAUGAACACACACUUUGCAGAAAAAGAUAUACAAAUGGCAAAUAAGCUUGUGAAAAGAUGCUCAACAUAUUAAUAAUCAGGAAAAUGCAAAUUAAAGUUGCAGCAUGGCAGCACACGACCACCAGAAAGGCUAAAAUUAAAAAAAGGUGGAUGAUGCAUGGUCCCCACUGACCCCCCUUCCUGGUACUCCUGUCCUUGUGGCGUCCCUCCCCUUGAGUAUGGGUGGGACCUAUGACUUGCUUCUAACCAAUAGAAUAUGGUGAAGGGGAUUGGACGUCACUUCCGUGUUUACAUCACAGAAGACCGUAACUUCCGUCUUGCCAGCCCAUUCUCUCUAAUGACUGUCUCCCUCGCUGGAUGUGAUGAAGUAGGCUACAUUAUGCAGCACCCCAUGAAACAAAGAAUUGAGUGUGACCACCAGGCAACAUCUGGCAAGGAACUGAGUUCCAACAGUGCACAAGGAAGUGAAUCCUGACAACAGUCCCAAGAGCUUAGGAGUGAAUCCUUCUCCACUCCAGCCUCAGAUAAGUCUUGCCCUUAAUUGCAGCCUCAUGAAAGACUCUGAAACCUUGGGCCCAGGUAACCCAUGCCAAGAUUCCUGACCUGCAGAAACUGUGGGUCAUCAAGCAUGUUCUUUCAAGUCUCUACAUGUGUAGUAAUUUGUUAUGCAGCUUUAGAUAACCAAGAGAUGGAACAAUUGGAACUGCCCUACAGUUACGGUGGGGCAUAAAAUGACACAAGCAUUUUGGAAAACAGUUGGGCAGUUUCUUAUAAAAUUAAACAGACACUUACCCUAACACCCAGCAUUGUGCUCUAGGUAUUUACCUAAGAAAAAUAAAACGUGUUUAUACAAAGACUUAUACAUGAAUAUUUAUAGCAGUUUUAUACAUAAUAGCCUACAAGUAGAAACAACUCAAAUGUCCAUCCAAAGACAAAUAACUAAAGUAUGGAAUAUUCAUACAGUAAAAUACUACUCAGCAAUCAAGAGGAAUGAGCCACUAACACAUUCAACAACAUCGAUGAAUGUCAAAAACGUCAUGUUGAGGAAAAGACCCCAGACAUAAAAGAAUAUAUUAUAUAUUAGUCCAUUUAUAUUAAACUCUAGAAAGCACAAAUCUAAUCUUUGAUCAUAGAAAAUAGAUCUGUGGUCAUCUAAAACUGGGGGUGUGAGGUCAGGAUUGACAGCAAAGGCUCACAAGCCUGACUUUUGGGGGUGGUGGGCAAGUUCUACAUCUUGAUUGUGACAGUAUUUACAAUCAACUGUCAAAACUCAUGGAGCUGUUCACUUAAAGUUGGUAAAUUAUAUUUUAUGUAAAUUUUUCCUUGAUAAAGUUUUUUUAAAUGAUCUCAAGGUGGAUUAAAGACUUAAACUGUAAAACUCCCAGGAGAAAACAUACAGAGGAUCCUUCAUUAUAUUGGUAUUGGCAGUGAUUUAUUGGAUAUGAUGCCAAAAGCACAGUACACAAAAACAAAAACAGAAUACAGCAACGGAACAAUUAACAGAGUGAAAAAGUAACCUGUGGAAUGGGAAAAUGGGAAUGCUGUUCUGCAUAGCAACGGAACAAUUGGCAGAGUGAAAAGUUUCUUGCAGCUUGGUGUGGUGGAUCUCACCUGUAAUCCCAGGACUUUGGGAGGCCGAGGCAAGAGGAUUGCUUGAGACCAGGAGAUGAAGACCAGCCUGGGCAACAUAAUGAGACCCUGUCUCCACAAAAAUAAAAUAAAAUAAAAUAAAGAUAAAAAUAAAAAAUUUAAAAAUAAUUUUUAAAAAUAGUUUAUGGCCACAUUUAUACCAAAAUGGUAAGGUGGUGGUGGGACGACCUGCAGGAAAACUUGGUCCAGGAAGGGGACCUAGGUACUAGUGCCCAUCUCCCCCUGGGUGGAAAUUCAGGCAUGUCCUUUCCUCA